GGGGGCCCGCAAGCGGUGGAGCAUGUGGUUUAAUUCGACGCAACGCGAAGAACCUUACCUGGGCUCGAAAUGUAGUGGAAUCCGGUGGAAACAUCGGCGCCCAGCAAUGGGCCGCUAUAUAGGUGCUGCAUGGCUGUCGUCAGCUCGUGUCGUGAGAUGUUGGGUUAAGUCCCGCAACGAGCGCAACCCUUGUUACCAGUUGCUACCAUUUAGUUGAGCACUCUGGUGAGACCGCCUCGGAUAACGGGGAGGAAGGCGGGGAUGACGUCAAGUCCUCAUGGCCUUUAUGUCCAGGGCUACACACGUGCUACAAUGGCCGGUACAAACCGUCGCAAACCCGUGAGGGGGAGCUAAUCGGAAAAAGCCGGCCUCAGUUCGGAUUGGAGUCUGCAACUCGACUCCAUGAAGCUGGAAUCGCUAGUAAUCGCGGAUCAGAACGCCGCGGUGAAUACGUUCCCGGGCCUUGUACACACC
rnacentral:rRNA from 1 species